GUAACAAGGUUUCCGUAGGUGAACCUGCGGAAGGAUCAUUGUCGUAACCUGCCAAGGCAGAACAACUCGCGAACCAUUAUUAAAACUCGGCAAUGACAGUGAGUGCAGCGUGCUCCCUCGGGGGUUCCGUUGUUCCUCAUUGUGCAGCCAGUGAGUGCAGCGUGCUCCCCCGGGGGUUCCGUUGUUCCUCAUUGUGCAGCCAGUGAGUGCAGCGUGCUCCCCCGGGGGUUCCGUCGUUCCUCACUGUGCAGCUAGUGAGUGCAGCGUGCUCCCCCGGGGGUUCCGUUGUUCCUCGUUGGGCUGUUGCCAUGCCUGUUGUUGGGGUCUUGUGCCCUGGCUCCUGGCUAACCAAACCCCCGGCACGAGUUGUGCCAAGGAACACAAAUGAAAUGCUUGGGGGGUGCCUCAUCCCCUUAAGAGUAUUAAACAAAACGACUCUUGACAACGGAUAUCUAGGCUCUUGCAUCGAUGAAGAACGUAGCGAAAUGCGAUACUUGGUGUGAAUUGCAGAAUCCCGUGAACCAUCGAGUUUUUGAACGCAAGUUGCGCCCGAAGCCUUCUGGCCGAGGGCACGCCUGCCUGGGCGUCAUAAUUCGUCACCCCUCCCACCAUGCCCUUGGGCUGACUGGGCCGGGGUGGAAUCUGGCUUCCCGCGUCCCCUAGGCGCGGCUGGCCGAAAUUUGGACGCACCAAGGCAUUGCCUGUAGCGGCCUAGGUGGAUCGAAAGGCCCUCUAAGUUUGCCGUGCAGUGCAGUGCCAUGGUGCCCAUGGCCCCUCUCGUGUUUUCCCUUUGCGGGAAAAUACUGUUGCGCGACCCCAG
rnacentral:rRNA from 1 species